rnacentral:rRNA from 1 species
AGAACGAACGCUGGCGGCAUGCCUAACACAUGCAAGUCGAACGAGACCUUCGGGUCUAGUGGCGCACGGGUGCGUAACGCGUGGGAAUCUGCCCUUAGGUUCGGAAUAACAGUUAGAAAUGACUGCUAAUACCGGAUAAUGACGUAAGUCCAAAGAUUUAUCGCCUAAGGAUGAGCCCGCGUAAGAUUAGCUAGUUGGUGGGGUAAAGGCCUACCAAGGCAACGAUCUUUAGCUGGUCUGAGAGGAUGAUCAGCCACACUGGGACUGAGACACGGCCCAGACUCCUACGGGAGGCAGCAGUGGGGAAUAUUGGACAAUGGGCGAAAGCCUGAUCCAGCAAUGCCGCGUGAGUGAUGAAGGCCUUAGGGUUGUAAAGCUCUUUUACCCGGGAUGAUAAUGACAGUACCGGGAGAAUAAGCUCCGGCUAACUCCGUGCCAGCAGCCGC